AGCAGCCGCGGUAAUUCCAGCUCCAAUAGCGUAUAUUAAAGUUGCUGCAGUUAAAAAGCUCGUAGUUGAAUUUCGGGACUAAUAUGUCGGUCGUGCCUCGGUACGUACUGGUAUUUUUGGUUUCUCCCUUCUGACGAACCUUGAUGUCAUUAAUUUGGUGUCUUGGGAAAUCAGGACUGUUACUUUGAAAAAAUUAGAGUGUUUAAAGCAGGCUCACGCUUGAAUACAUUAGCAUGGAAUAAUGAAAUAGGACGUUUGAUUCUAUUUUGUUGGUUUCUAGGAUUGACGUAAUGAUUAAUAGGGAUAGUUGGGGGCAUUAGUAUUCAAUUGUCAGAGGUGAAAUUCUUGGAUUUAUUGAAGACUAACUACUGCGAAAGCAUUUGCCAAGGAUGUUUUCAUUAAUCAAGAACGAAAGUUAGGGGAUCGAAGACGAUCAGAUACCGUCGUAGUCUUAACCAUAAACUAUGCCGACUAGGGAUCGGAUGAUGUUAAUUUUUUAAUGACUCAUUCGGCGCCUUACG
rnacentral:rRNA from 1 species